rnacentral:tRNA from 1 species
ACUAUUUUGGCAGAUUAGUGCAAUAAAUUUAGAAUUUAUAUAUGUAAUUUAUAAUUACAGAUAGUA